rnacentral:lncRNA from 1 species
AGUUGGGCUUUUCUUCAGGAUUUGGCAUAAAGAAGCAUUCGAGAAGCUAAAGAAGAAGCUAUGCUAGGCACUGAUACUUUCUUUACCCGAUGGAGUUGAAGACUUCGUUGUUUAUAGCGAUGCGUCUGGGGUUGGAUUGGGUUGUGUUUUGACCCAAAGAGAAAAGGUGAUAGCAUAUGCGUCUCGACAGUUGAAGGAGCAUGAAAAGAAUUACCCGACUCAUGAUUUGGAGUUGGCAGCGGUAGUUUUCGCUCUGAAAAUAUGGAGGCAUUACCUCUAUGGCACGAAGUGCAAACUUUUCACUGAUCAUAAGAGUCUCCAAUACCUCUUUAAUCAGAAAGAAUUGAAUAUGAGGCAACGACGCUGGCUAGAAUUACUUAAAGACUACGACUGCGAGAUACUUUACCACCCCGGUAAAGCUAAUGUUGUUGCUGAUGCUCUCAGUCGGAAGGUCAAUCUUGAAAGGAAGAGGCCAAGAGCGUUGAGAAUUGAAGUUGUCUCGACCAUUGUGGAAAGUAUAAAGAAAGCUCAAGAGGAAGCUUCUGAGAAAAAUGACCGAAAGGAGGAACGUUUGGGUAAAACGUUGGUGUUUGGUACUAACGGUCAUGGACUGAAGGUAUUCCAAGAUCGUAUUUGGGUACCUAAGUCAGGAGGAAUUAGAGAUCUUCUGAUGGAAGAAGCUCACAAGACCAUGUACUCGAUUCAUCCGGGUAGCACUAAAAUGUAUAGGGACCUGAAACCCUACUACUGGUGGCCGACGAUGAAGCUUGAUGUUGCAAAGUAUGUGGCCGAGUGUGUGACUUGUGCGAGAGUCAAGACACAACAUCAGAAACCGUACGGGAGUUUAGAACCUUUGCCUGUGCCUAUGGGUAAGUGGGAAGACAUUGCUAUGGAUUUUGUCACUAAACUGCCCAGAACAAAGAAUGGUCACGACAUGAUUUGGGUGGUCGUUGAUCGAUUCACUAAGAGUGCGCAUUUCAUAGCGGCCAGGGAGAAAUGGUCUAUGGAAAAGCUUGCGAAUUCUUACGUGAAGGAAAUUGUGAGGCUUCACGGUGUUCCGUUAACGAUUGUAUCGGAUCGUGAUAGCCGUUUCACCUCAAGGUUUUGGAAAAGUCUACAAGAGGAAAUGGGUACCAAGUUAUGUUUAAGCACAGCUUACCAUCCGCAGACUGAUGGUCAGAGUGAAAGAACAAUACAAACACUUGAAGAUAUGCUGAGAGCAUGUACCUUGGAAUUCCUAGGUAAUUGGGAUGAACAUUUACCGUUGGUAGAAUUUUCCUAUAAUAAUAGUUUUCACUCGAGCAUUAAGAUGGCACCUUAUCAAGCUUUGUAUGGACAGAAGUGUCGUACGCCGUCUUGUUGGCUUGAGGCUGGGGAAAAGCAGUUUAUGGGACCGGAGUUGGUUCAUCAAACUGCUGAAAAGUUGAAAAUAAUUAGGGAAAGAAUGUUAGCAGCUCAAGAUCGUCAAAAGAGCUAUGCUGACAAGAAGCGAAGACCGAUGACUUUUGAGGUUGGAGAUUCGGUUUUGCUUAAAGUCUCGCCGUGGAAGGGACUUAUAAGAUUUGGUAAAAGGGGAAAGUUGAGUCCAAGGUUUAUUGGACCGUUUAGAGUCCUUCAGAGGAUUGGGAAUCAAGCUUACAAGCUCGAAUUACCCGAAGAACUGAAUGGAAUUCACAACACCUUUCAUGUGUGUUAUUUGAGGAAGUUCACGGGAGAAGUUCCCGAUAUAAUUCCAAUUUCUGAAUUGAGAAUUGAUGAGAACAAAAGGUUGAUUGAAGAACCAGAGGCAAUUGUUGACCGAAAGACUAAGAAGUUGCGACGCAAAAUGGUUGGGUUAGUGCUUGUCCGAUGGAAACACACGAAUGGGCCGAAUCUCACCUGGGAGACGGAGAGUGACAUGUUGAGUCGCUAUCCGCAUUUGUUUGUUGAUGUGUGAUUCCGGGGACGGAAUCAUUCUAAGGUGGAGAGAAUUGUAACGCCUGUGUUUCGGGCUUGCCAUUUGUAGCAAUGUAAUAGUCUAGGUUAACCUCUGUAACCCGUUUUGAAAUAAUAAGAUUGUAUUAUUUGAGUAUUGUGUGUUUUGUGCUUAAUUGCUUAAUUAUGUGGUUUGAUUAAUUAAGAAUAAAAAUAAGCGUCAAAAUUUAAGUGUAAAAUAAACUUAAUAUAUUUGGUUAAUGUUGUAGUAGUUGAAACGAGGUUUCCGAAUAUAUAUAGAACGCCCAAAUCUGACUUCGUAUGAGGAAGUUAUGAUUUAUCGAAGUUCCGGCUUAGCGAUAUACAGCCUGUUUUACUCGAUUUGAGAUCGAGCGGUUGUUAGCCGAAGCAAUCUAAAUGAGAAUCGAAGAUCUCAUUGUUGGUAUUGAAACGAUAAAAAGUUAGGCGAGAACGGACGUCAAACGAAGAAGUUAUGAAUUUAUAACGAAAGUUUCUGUCCCGGCCUAUUAAAAAUAAUUAAUAAAAAUAAAGUCAAAAUUAGCCGACGGAGUCUAAACGAAAGUCGUAGAGCGUGGUCUCACCUUCGCGUGGAUAUAAAGAACGUCGAAAACGGAGUUCGUAUGAAGAAGUUAUGAAUUUCCGAAGUUUAUUAAUCAUUUUGUAUUUAUAUUUAAAUCAAAAUUCGGAAGCAUUAUCCGAAGGAGUCACCGAUCUGAUCCGAGGUACGCCCCGCGUACUCGAGUACGCCCCGCGUACUCCGAGGGAUGUCGACACUCGCACUCGAGCACUUCGGAUACGUAAGCAAUGACGUUUUGGGCAGUACGCCCCGCGUAACGCAGUACGCCCCGCGUACUCCGAGGCUCCAGCCUCCUAUAAAUAGGAUGCGAGGGUUCCGGGUAUUUUUGCCAAUUCCCUCUCGUUUUCGUGUCGAAGCUCUGUGCAAAAACCCCCGAAGCUACCCCGAAGUCCCGGUAUCAUACUCUAGCCCCGAGGCAAGUCCCGAGAUCCCGAAGAUCCCGAAAAGUGCGGUUCCCGAGUCGAAGCUCUGCCCGCGAGAAGUUCGAUUUUCGAGAAGAUCUUCCAGAUCUGCUGUGGAUUACUACUUCUAUAAGCCGUAGUGCUGUCCGAUCAUCUUCUGAUCAAGUGAGUGUGUAGUUAUUUCUUCUAAUACAAUAAUACGAAGUAUUUUAUAUAAAAAUACGUGCUAUGUGUAUAUAUUUGGUUGUGUUAUGUGUGAAUGAGUAUUCACUCUCUUCUAUCUUAUAGAUCUGCUUAUUUCUUUAUGAGAUAUGUGUUAUGUGUGUGUGUGCCUCAUCUGUUAUGUGAUAUAUGUGUUGAUUAAAGCAUGCUAUACAGGUUUUCUUUAAACUAUGUAUACAAAUGUAUAUUUUUAUCUACUAAUAUGUUGGGUAGAACAUGGGUAGACAGUUGGUGUGUAAUAAACAGAUGAGAGGCCUCGUUGUUGUUUGAUUGAGUCAUCUAGCGGAGUUUAGAUGACGACCACUGGCUAUUCUAGACAGUCUUGUGGAAACAUUAGCAGGUUCGCCACCUGUAGGUGUUAAUGAACUUGGGUGUUCAUUCGCUGUACUCCAUCCCCCUCAUGGUUGCCUUAUUUGACUUAUAUUGCUGAGGUACCCCCGAAGCAUGUGUUGUCGCCCCGAUGAAAUAUUCUUAGACUAGGUCCCUUAUGUUAGUUGUUUUAGGGACAUUAAAGUGAGAAUAACGGGAAUGGGUAAUUGGGUUAUUGUUGGUUGGUGAAAAUUAAAUAUGAUAUUUAUUGUGGGUUGAAAACCCUAUAUGCUCACCAGGCUCCCAAGCCUGACCCACUCAGUUUUAAAUUGUAUUACAGGUAGUGGCGGAAGGGCAUGAGAUGGAUGAACCAUCAAGUUGUUUUGUUUACAAGUCUGCAUAUGUUUAUAUUUGUUAUAUGACUUGUAAUGUAUUCGUUUAUGCUUAUUGGUCUGUAUCGGAACAUGACACCCCGAGUUUUGAUUAUAAUGAAAAUACAUUUCUUUUAUGAAAUGCUUCGGUAAACAAUGUUUUAUCAUGUUUUGUUUUUGGGAACAAAUUCCGCAACUCUUUCAAAUCAAAAGGAUUUACUCUGAAAAUAUUUAAAAGCAUAAAUGAAAAUCGGUCUUUUCUGGCCGAGAUUUUGGGGAUGUCACAGUUGGUAUCAGAGCAUUAGUUUAAGCGAACUAGGAAUUUGUAGGAUUUCUAGACUUAAACUUAGAAUGCUAAGUGAAGUUUUGAGAUGUGUGUCUGUUGUGUUUUAGACACGAGCACUAGUUUAUUUUAGGAAAGUUGCCUAAAAUGCUUUAUGUGCUAAAUGUUAUAUGUUGCCAUAUAUGAUAUUAUUUGUUCGGAUCUAUGGUCUGUUGCCGACCGGAUCUAGAAACCUUAUGUGUGUAGGAUUCUAAGCGUACGUCUACGAUAUUAGAACUAGCAUGUAAACGUUUCGGAGUGAUAAGGAUGAUUUGAAUAUCUAUCAUGAUUGAGGAUCUAAUUUCACCUUAUUCGGGGUGUAGAUCAAAAUGGUGAGAACAAGAAGUGGAGUUGGAAAUGCUGACGAAAACAGGAAUCAACCACCAGUGAUUGAGCCAAUACCUGUCGUAGCAGCAGCACCUGAGCCAAUAACCAUGGCUGGUGUGCAAUUGAUGAUUCAGACGAUGUUGGAUCGUCAGAUGGAUGAAACUAGACGGUUGCUUCAACAAAAUCGUGAAGAACUGUCGAUUCGUGUGGAAGAGCCUGAAUUAAAUGAAGGGCACUCGGAAGGUGGAAACUUCAGUGGGUCUGUUGGUCCAGCCAACCCACCGAUAGUUAGGCAAGAUAACCAUGAAGGAAGGAAUGAUGGAAUGGGAUGCAAGUACAAGGACUUUUUGACUUGCAAACCAUCGACCUUCAAUGGAAAGGAGGAUCCGAUUGGGGUUAUGGAUUGGAUCUCCGAAAUGGAGUUAGCCUUUAUGACAUGUGGCUGCAGAGGUAAGUUGCAGACUAUCUAUGCCGUGCGACAAUUCCGAGGUGGAGCCGUUCGUUGGUGGAACACUCUAGGGAAGACCUUAAGCCCUAAUGAGCCACUGCAAUUGUCAUGGGCAGAGUUCUUGGUGCAGUUCAAGCGCAAGUUCUGCUCGGCUCAAAAUCUGUUGGAGUUGGAGAAUAAGUUUUUGACAUUGACGAAGGGUAGCAUGUCAGUUGAUGAAUACACCAAUAACUUCACCGAUAAGAUGGAGUUUGCCUUGCGUAUCGUUCCAGACGAGCUGACAAAGGUGGAUCGGUAUGCGAAGGGACUUCCAUGGGAGUACGAGGUGCCGGUACGUCAGGCACUUACUCUAGAGGCAGCUAUCUGGGCUGCCAAGUCUGUGGAGAACAUGAUCAAGGGGAGAACCACCGUCAAGGUUGAGGUUGGUGAGAAAAGGAAGUUUGAAGGAACAUCUGGUUCCAGUAAGAAGAGCAAAUUUUCGAAAUCUGAUUCGAAAAAGUUUGGAGGAAAAGGAGGCGAAGCAAAGUGGUGUGAUAAGUGUAAGAAAAAGCACUUUGGGAAAUGUAGCGAGGAUGUGACCUGCUACAAGUGUGGAAAGGUUGGACAUUUUGCCAAUGAAUGUCCGAACAACAAAAGGAUGUGUUUUGGUUGUAAUGAAGAGGGGCAUAUUUUGAAAGACUGUCCGAAGAAGAAGGAGGCAGCUAGGCCCAACAUUCCACCAAAGCCGAAGGCGAGAGCCUUCCAGAUGACACUUGAGGCUGCGAAAGAUGAAGCUGAUGUCGCUUCAGGUACCUUUCUCGUAAACGAAUUACCUGCUCAUAUAUUGUUUGAUUCUGGAGCCAACUACUCCUUUAUUUCGCAUGAGUUUGGUAGAAAGCUAGCUUUGCCUGUUGAUAGACUAAAUAAUGCUUUAUUAGUCGAAGUAGCUAGUGGCAAGUUUGUACCUGUUAGCCAUCGUAUGAAAAACGUCUUGAUCGACCUUAAUGGGAAUAAGUUUCUCGAGGAAUUAUUGCCUAUCGAACUAAAUGGUUUCGACAUCGUCUUGGGAAUGGAUUGGCUUAGCGCCAAUGAUGCCGAAAUUUUGUGCAAGAAGAAGAUAGUUAAAGUAAACCCGCCUGGAAAAGAUUCGUUUAUGGUGUAUGGGGACAAACGCAGAGUGAAUUCUGGAAUCAUUUCUCUAAUGAAAGCCAGAAAGUGUUUGACCAAGGGAUGUACAUCAUAUUUAGCAUUCGUGAUUGAUGCUAAGAAAGAAAAGAAGGUGAUGCAGAGCAUUCCAGUGGUGUGUGAUUAUCCGGAAGUAUUUCCCGAGGAUCUUCCUGGAUUACCACCUGAUAGACAAGUGGAGUUCAGAAUAGACUUGUUACCAGGAACCACGCCAAUAGCAAAAGCACCUUAUCGAUUAGCACCGACGGAGAUGAAGGAGCUAAUGAUGCAACUUCAGGAGUUAUUGGACAAAGGUUUCAUUAGACCUAGUUCAUCGCCCUGGGGAGCUCCGGUGUUAUUUGUAAAGAAGAAAGAUGGAAGUAUGAGAAUGUGCAUCGAUUACAGAGAGCUGAACAAGGCAACAAUAAAGAAUAGAUAUCCGUUGCCGAGGAUUGAUGACCUGUUUGAUCAAUUGCAAGGUUCGAGCUAUUUCUCGAAGAUCGAUCUUAGGUCAGGAUAUCAUCAGCUGAAAGUAAGAGAGCAAGAUAUCGAGAAGACUGCAUUCAGAACUAGAUAUGGACACUACGAGUUCUUGGUUAUGUCGUUUGGACUAACCAAUGCUCCAGCAGCGUUCAUGGAUUUGAUGAAUAGGGUUUGUAAUCCUUUCCUUGAUAAAUCCGUGAUAGUGUUCAUAGACGACAUUCUGAUCUACUCGAAAAGCCAGGAGGAGCAUGGCAGACACUUGCGAGAAGUGUUAGAAGUUUUGAAGAAGGAGAAGCUUUAUGCGAAGUUCUCCAAAUGUGAUUUUUGGAUUCGUGAAGUCCAAUUCUUGGGUCACGUGGUCAACCAAGAAGGGAUAAUGGUUGAUCCAGCGAAGAUCGAAGCUGUGACGAAGUGGGAACAACCGAAAAGUCCCACGGAGAUUCGAAGCUUUUUAGGAUUAGCCGGAUAUUACCGAAGGUUUAUCCAAGGCUUUUCUUCGAUUGCUACUCCAUUAACAGCUUUGACCCACAAAGGAGCUACUUAUGCUUGGAGUGAGAAGCAUAAAGAAGCAUUCGAGAAGUUAAAGAAGAAGCUAUGCGAGGCACCGAUACUUUCUCUACCCGAUGGAGUUGAAGACUUCGCUGUUUAUAGCGAUGCGUCUGGUGUUGGAUUGGGUUGUGUUUUGACCCAAAGAGAAAAGGUGAUAGCAUAUGCGUCUCGACAGCUGAAAGAGCAUGAAAAGAAUUACCCGACUCAUGAUUUGGAGUUGGCAGCGGUAGUUUUCGCUCUGAAAAUAUGGAGGCAUUACCUCUAUGGCACGAAGUGCAAACUUUUC